rnacentral:lncRNA from 1 species
GUCGUAUAUACCCCGGCAGGUUCAUAAAUAUAAUACUGACAUCUCUAUGUUGUUAUCCAAUCAUUAAACUCGACACAUUGAUAAUCCGUAAUAUAUAAAUAAAUAUGAAAGCUGGUUUUUAUGCUAUAGUUAGAGGAGGGGGUAAGGCGUCAACGCAAUGCAAGUGGUGUUGUCGUUGAUGUAUGACGUGAAUAGCACAAGUUCCAGCGCCGUUCGGGUAGGAUGUAAACAAUCCGAUCUACUCUAACAUUGUAAGGUUGAUUUUCUAAGCACUUUAUUAAUUUUUUUUGAUAUUUCUUAAUCGUAAGAAAUCCAAUGGACGAGAUAUAAUUUAC